GACGAACGCUGGCGGCGUGCCUAAUACAUGCAAGUCGAACGCAUUUUCUUUCACCGUAGCUUGCUACACCGAAAGAAAAUGAGUGGCGAACGGGUGAGUAACACGUGGGUAACCUGCCCAUCAGCGGGGGAUAACACUUGGAAACAGGUGCUAAUACCGCAUAAUUCCAUUUACUGCAUGGUAGAUGGAUGAAAGGCGCUUUUGCGUCACUGAUGGAUGGACCCGCGGUGCAUUAGCUAGUUGGUGGGGUAACGGCCUACCAAGGCUGCGAUGCAUAGCCGACCUGAGAGGGUGAUCGGCCACACUGGGGCUGAGACACGGCCCAGACUCCUACGGGAGGCAGCAGUAGGGAAUCUUCGGCAAUGGACGCAAGUCUGACCGAGCAACGCCGCGUGAGUGAAGAAGGUUUUCGGAUCGUAAAACUCUGUUGUUAGAAAAGAACAAGGAUGAGAGUGGAAAGUUCAUCCCUUGACGGUAUCUAACCAGAAAGCCACGGCUAACUACGUG
rnacentral:rRNA from 1 species